GCACUGAGGUAAGACAGAAGACACACAGUCCUUGCCAUCAAGAAGCUUCAAAUCUAGGGAGAGACACAAAACUAAGAAUAAUAAUGAUACACCAUGAAGCCAGCUUGCCAUGUUGUGAAACGCCCUGUGGAGAAGCGUAUGUAGCAAGAAACUAACGGAGACCUCCAGUCAACAGAGAGGAAUCAAGGCCUCAAUUCAACAGACAAAGAGGAACUAAAUCUUACAAGUACCACGUAGGAAGUGGAUCCUUCUCAUGAAGACUUGAGAUGAAUGCAGCCUUGUGAGUCCCUAAGUCUGACGACUCAGUUAAGCCACUCCUAGAUUCCUGACCCAAAGAAACUAUAAGAUAAUAAAUGUUUAUUGUUUUAAGA